UAAAGCAAGAAAGGGCGUAUGGGGAAUGCCUAGGCACACUCCGGCGAAGAAGGACGCAGCAAACAGCGAAAUGCGACGGUGAGCGGUAAGCACGUGAAGAGCCGUCGAUAUCCGAAUGGGGGAACCCACACGGAGUCAUAUCCGUGUAUCACAUGUCGAAUACAUAGACAUGAUGAGGCGAGACGCAGGGAACUGAAACAUCUAAGUACCUGCAGGAAGAGAAAAUAAGAAUGAUUUUCUGAGUAGCGGCGAGCGAAAGGGAAAGAGCCCAAACCGAUCUUAGGAUCGGGGUAGUAGGAUCAUCGAUAAAUCUGACAGAGGAUCAUAGAGGAAUCACAUGGGAAGGUGAGCGAGAGAGGGUGAGAGCCCCGUACUCGAAAUGAGAGACUGGAGAGAGAUGACACCUGAGUAGGGCGGGACACGAGAAAUCCUGUCUGAAUCAGCCGGGACCAUCCGGCAAGGCUAAAUACGAGAGAGUGACCGAUAGUGAACCAGUACCGUGAGGGAAAGGUGAAAAGAACCCCGGGAGGGGAGUGAAAGAGAACCUGAAACCAUAUGCCUACAAGAAGUCAGAGCCCGUUAAAGGGUGAUGGCGUGCCUUUUGUAGAAUGAACCGGCGAGUUACUGUAUGGAGCGAGGUUAAGCAGGAUAUGCGGAGCCGAAGCGAAAGCGAGUCUUAAGAGGGCGAGAGUUGCAUGCAGUAGACCCGAAACCGGGUGAUCUAGCCAUGACCAGGUUGAAGUUGGGGUAAAACCCGAUGGAGGACCGAACCGACCCCCGUUGAAACGUUGGCGGAUGAGUUGUGGCUAGGGGUGAAAUUCCAAUCGAACCCGGAGAUAGCUGGUUCUCCCCGAAAUAGCUUUAGGGCUAGCGUCGAGGUAAGUUGCGUGAAGGUAGAGCACUGAAUAUGUGAUGGCCCCAUCUCGGGGUACUGAGCAUAAUCAAACUGCGAAUGUCACGCCAACAUGCUCGGCAGUCAGACAGCGGGUGAUAAGGUCCGUUGUCAAGAGGGAAACAGCCCAGACCAUCAGCUAAGGUCCCAAAAUGUAUGCUAAGUGGAAAAGGAUGUGGAGAUGUACAGACAACUAGGAGGUUGGCUCAGAAGCAGCCAUCCUUUAAAGAGUGCGUAACAGCUCACUAGUCGAAUGACUCUGCGCCGAUAAUUUACCGGGGCUAAGCAUACUACCGAAGCUAUGGAUCCCAAGGGAUGGUAGGGGAGCGUUCCAUGAACGGAGAAGUACGACCGAAAGGACGUGUGGAGAUCAUGGAAGAGAGAAUGCCGGUGUGAGUAGCGGAACGUGGGUGAGAAUCCCACGCACCGAAAACCCAAGGUUUCCAGAGGAAGGUUCGUCCGCUCUGGGUAAGUCGGGACCUAAGGCGAGGCCGAAAGGCGUAGUCGAUGGACAACAGGUAGAGAUUCCUGUACCCGUAUAUAUGUGAAGGAAUGACGGAGAGAGGAAGCUGCAGCCAGCGGCUGGAAGAGCUGGUGCAAGCGAGAUAUCGGGAUGGCAGGCAAAUCCACCAUCCGAAACGAGAAGGCGUGAAGCGUACGGAAAGCUACGGCGAGUACGGAAGGCAGUGGAGGAACUUCCAAGAAAAGUUUCUAACGUUAAGUAUAUAUGGCCCGUACCGAAAAUGGACACACAUGGGUGAGGAGAGAAUCCUAAGGUGAGCGAGAGAACUAUAGCUAAGGAACUCUGCAAAAUGACUCCGUAACUUAGGGAGAAGGAGUGCUCAUAGAGAUAUGAGCCGCAGUGAAACGGCCCAAGCGACUGUUUACCAAAAACACAGCUCUCUGCUAAGCCGCAAGGCGAAGUAUAGGGGGUGACGCCUGCCCGGUGCUGGAAGGUUAAGGGGAGGGGUUAACGCAAGUGAAGCCCUGAACUGAAGCCCCAGUAAACGGCGGCCGUAACUAUAACGGUCCUAAGGUAGCGAAAUUCCUUGUC
rnacentral:rRNA from 1 species